GUGGGUACAUUCAUUUCCCAAUCUCAGUUUUACCUGAAUAGAGAAGGAGAUCCGUUAUUACAUAUUUUUAUUAGAUUUUGAUAUAAAGGUUACCAUUGAGCUUUAUGCUUCAUCGUGCAUUCGAGGGUGAUAGAGGGAUAAUUUAGUAGUUUCAUAGGAUCUUUCAUAGCUGUUGAUUUUUUCAACAAAAUUGAAUUGGGAUCUUACUUUAAUUAGUUUUGUACUUUUUAUAGUAAAAAAAUAUAUUGUAAUGUGUCUUUCUUUUAUUUAUAACUACAACAUCAUAUUUUGUACCUCCUCGGAACCUUUAUGGAGCCUAAAGAGAACGUAGAAUAUUGUAACCAUGAGUACGGAGUGGACGUAUAAAAGCUCAUGUAUAUAAGAAUACAUAGUAUUUUAUAGUUGUUUCGUUGUACCCUUGUCUUCUUUGACACCAUAAAAGAUGGCAGACCAAUUAGAUAUGGAAAACAGGGAUCCUAAUAGUAUUAAUGAUCAUAUAAAGGUUGCCUUUGACGAUAUCCUUGCAGAAGUACCAGGGGCUCACGCUAUUGAUUGUGUAUGGAAAAACAGCUACAGAUGUUUUGAAGGAGGAAAGAGUUGCUGUUAUAAGUUUUUGACAGCCAUCUGUGGAAUAUGUAUCGCAUUAUAUUGGGGAUGUUGUUUCGCAUGUUUGGCUUUCGAGCACAUCUGGUGUGUCAGUCCCGGUUUAUCUGCUUAUAGAAUUGAAUGUGGUGCAUGGAGAAAGUAUUACAGUAUUUGUAUGGACUGUUUCUGUGCUCCCUGUUGUGAGACCAUGGGUCUAUUCUUCAGUAACAUAAAAGUUCAAAACAAAUAGCAAAAUGGUUUAAAGAAUGUUUAUAUCUGUGAUAAUUAACUUUUAUUUAAAGAAGUUCAUGUUUCAAGAAAAUAAUAUAUGAUCUUGUAUCUU